rnacentral:rRNA from 1 species
AUUGAACGCUGGCGGCAGGCCUAACACAUGCAAGUCGAGCGGAUGAAGGGAGCUUGCUCCUGGAUUCAGCGGCGGACGGGUGAGUAAUGCCUAGGAAUCUGCCUGGUAGUGGGGGAUAACGUCCGGAAACGGGCGCUAAUACCGCAUACGUCCUGAGGGAGAAAGUGGGGGAUCUUCGGACCUCACGCUAUCAGAUGAGCCUAGGUCGGAUUAGCUAGUUGGUGGGGUAAAGGCCUACCAAGGCGACGAUCCGUAACUGGUCUGAGAGGAUGAUCAGUCACACUGGAUCUGAGAAACGGUCCAGACACCUACGGGAGGCAGCAGUGGGGACUCUUACGGGAUGCGCCAAAGCGUGAUCCAGCCAUGCGGCGUGAGUGCAGAACGUCUUCGGCUUGGAGAGCACUGAAAGUUGGGGGGUAGUAAAGUAAGUUUAUACGUUACUAUUAUGACGGUACCAACAGAAUAAGCACCGGCUAACUCCGUG